AUUGAACGCUGGCGGCAUGCUUUACACAUGCAAGUCGAACGGCAGCGCGGGCUUCGGCCUGGCGGCGAGUGGCGAACGGGUGAGUAAUGCAUCGGAACGUGCCCAGUAGUGGGGGAUAGCCCGGCGAAAGCCGGAUUAAUACCGCAUACGACCUGAGGGUGAAAGCGGGGGACCGAAAGGCCUCGCGCUAUUGGAGCGGCCGAUGUCGGAUUAGCUAGUUGGUGGGGUAAAGGCUUACCAAGGCGACGAUCCGUAGCUGGUCUGAGAGGACGACCAGCCACACUGGGACUGAGACACGGACCAGACUCCUACGGGAGGCAGCAGUGGGGAAUGUUGGACAAUGGGGGCAACCCUGAUCCAGCCAUGCCGCGUGCGGGAAGAAGGCCUUCGGGUUGUAAACCGCUUUUGUUCGGGAAGAAAUCCUCUGGGCUAAUACCCCGGGGGGAUGACGGUACCGGAAGAAUAAGCACCGGCUAACUACGUG
rnacentral:rRNA from 1 species